rnacentral:lncRNA from 1 species
GUAACUGAAUUAACAAAAACCCUACCAGUUCAGCACCAGACCGUCAGUCAAUCCCUCUCCCCUUCAAAAUAUGGACCACAAACGAUAAGAAAGAGGAAGAAACGAAGAAAACUAUAACAAUAAAAAAAAAUGAGGUAAACAAGUUUCUUUACAAGUUAUGAGAUGCAAAGAUGGAAACAAACAAACCAGGCAUAAUUAAUCUAGAAUCGUCAAGCAUUCUGUCCUCCAUCCCUAUGUUUAAGUUAGCAAAGCAAUAAAAUGGACCUAUGAACUCCAGCCUCAACAAAGGGCUUACCAAAACGCAGCAUCAUAAAAUUAUUUAAAAUUCACAAGAAGCACCCUGCAAUAUUUAUGUAAAAACGAGGACAAGAAGAUGACAAUAACCAGAUGGAACACAUCUUUACAAUAAUAGAAAUAUAAGGCAGCUCAAGAAACCUCCUUGCUCUAAUAAUGCUUUGGAUACCGGGCAACAACCAUUGCAAUAUAAAAUAAAAGACAAAAAAAUGAUGGUCCAGAUUCAAGGAGAUGCAAAACCUGAUACCGCACUCACCAGACACAUGAAAUUCAAAAUUGCUAUUUACCAGUGCUCCAUGUUUAAAUAAACAAUAGAAGCCAUCAAAAGAAAAGGUGAAAAAAUAAAAAAGGAACCAUGGUACCUAGAACCUGAACAAGAAGACAGGAAUGCACAUAUUAAUCAUCAAAGUACCUGUCACCAAAAGAAAGAAUCAAAACAGAAACUGCUAUGGGUAGAACAAAACAGCAAAUCAUAUAAAAACCAGUACCAAUCCAGCUACAUCCUGUCCACAACAGAUACGAACAGACGGGGAAAUACUAAGCAUUCACCUUAAAAAUUCAAGGAUAAGGGAAGCCUCACCCGAAAUUGACUAUACCAAUAAAAUUCAAGAUACCCACUCAUAUCAAUAAAUACUGCAUAAAGAGAUCAGGAAAGAGGUCACCAAAAAAGGUUCAAGAAUCCCAUCAAAACAAAUUAAAGAACAAGACAGCGCUCAUCGAUCUUCAGGAUCUUCCGAACAACUGGUACCCAUAAACAAUUAAUUAUUAAAAAGGAGGGGGGAAACAAAACUGUGAACGCCAACCUCAAUAAGGGCUUUCCCAAGUGCAGCAUCGUAAAAUUAUUUAAAAUCCGCACGAAGCACCCUGAAUUAUAAACGGAUCUAAUACAGAUUUCAGAACCCAAAAAAUUCUCACCAAGGAGGGCUCGCAAACAGCUCUUAUGAUUCAAUUGAUAUUACUUCACAAAAAUUGUUCUAGUAAAUAGCAAAACCAAGAAUAGAUCUCUUAUGAACGUAUCAUCAAAUCCAAACACAAUAUCAUGGACGAUCUCCUAAGUCCAGAUUUGGAACCCAAACCACAACUGUCUUAAAGAAUUCAAUGAACCCAAAAAGGCACGAGACCCAACCAGCACAACUUGAAUACGUAUAUCAUCAAAUUCCACAAAGAAAGCAAUGAUUACCUUGAUACCAAAAAAUACCUUGAUAAACAACUUCAAAUCAACCCGAAACGCUCUCUACGAAUCACAAAAUCUCUAACAACAUCUCUGCGAAGCGAAUAAAGAACACAGAGCCUACGCGAGAAACGAGGCACGGUGUCCCAAUUUAUAGGUGAAGUCGGUGCAGAGACACGGCUAGGAUUAAGUGUGGGUUUGAGAUCGGACGGUUGAAACCCG